UGCGAUGACGAAAACGUGCGGGCUGGUAGCAAUACUAGCCUGCCAGAGCAAC
rnacentral:snRNA from 1 species